CUUUGUCCUGCAAGAAUCAUUAUGGUCAUCUUGCAAGUGCCUGCAUGAGAUGGUGGAGAUUGCUAAUCUUGCUUUCGGCUUUUGGAUUAACGGUGUGAGGGAGUUGAUUAGGAAGCUUUGCUGGGAUGGUGCUAUGAACAUGUUGGAAUUCUUACCUUAGAUUGAACUAUAUUAUGUUGUUUCUGUUUUUGGUUUAUUUGCAAAGCAGUG
rnacentral:misc_RNA from 1 species